AGGAGGAAAAAAAAAUAGAAAAAGAAAAGCACAAAUGGCAUUGCGUCACUUACGAUUCUUCCCUCACACGCUUCCUCUCACUCUCACUCCCAAACCCAACAAUAACCGCUUCACUCCCUCACACUCUCUCUCUUCCUCAAUCAUGGCCAACGCUCACAAGGUCCUCGUUCCGAUCGCCGACGGCACCGAGCCUAUGGAGGCCGUCAUCACCAUCGACGUCAUCCGUCGUGCUGGCGCCGACGUCACCGUCGCUUCCGCCUCCUCCAACCUCGCCGUCCAAGCCCUCCACGGCGUCAAGAUCCUCGCCGAUGCCUCCGUCUCCGACGUCGCCGCCACCGCCUUUGACCUCGUCGCUCUCCCUGGAGGGUUACAGGGUGUUGAGAAUCUGAGAGACAGUAAAGUUCUGGAAGGGUUGGUGAAGAAGCAUGUCGAGGAUGGACGGCUUUAUGCUGCGGUGUGUGCUGCUCCUGCGGCAGUGCUUGGGCCUUGGGGUCUGCUCAAUGGGUUGAAGGCGACUUGUUAUCCUUCAUUGAUGGAGAAAUUGGCCUCUUACGCAGCCUCUACUGUUGAGUCUAGGGUGCAGGUGGAUGGCAGAGUUGUGACCAGUCGUGGCCCGGGAACUACCAUGGAGUUUGCUGUUGCAUUGAUUGAGCAGUUGAUUGGAAAAGAGAAAGCGGAUGAAGUUGCAGGUCCACUGGUCAUGCGUUCCAAUCAUGAUGAUGAACAUACUUUUAAGGAGCUUAACCCAGUGCAGUGGACAGUUGACAAUCCACCCAAGAUUCUUGUACCAAUUGCUAAUGGUUCAGAGGAAAUGGAAGCUGUGAUUAUCAUUGAUAUUCUGCGAAGAGCAAAGGCAAAGGUUGUGGUUGCUUCUGUUGAGGAUAAACUAGAGAUUGUGGCUUCACGCAAAGUUAAACUAGAGGCAGACAUGCUCCUUGAUGAAGCAGCCAAACUUUCAUAUGACCUUAUUGUGUUGCCUGGCGGACUUGGUGGUGCCCAAGCUUUUGCCAACUCAGAAACCUUGGUGAGUUUGCUGAAAAAGCAAAGAGAAUCAAACAAAUAUUAUGGAGCAAUUUGUGCAUCCCCGGCUUUAGUCUUGGAGCCCCAUGGCUUGCUGAAGGAUUUAGAAAAGCAUGCAUGGCAAACUGUAAAGUAGUGUUCAAGUUCAUUAUUAUCGAAGACACUUUCUGCUGAUGCUAAAUCCUCAGUGAAGUCUUCAUUCUAAUCAUUAUAUGGUAUUAUAAAAUGCUUGCAACUUGCAAGGCCUAAAUAUUUGUUUGAGCUUGAGUUCCGGGUAAAAAGGCCACUGCCUUUCCUGCAAUGUGCAGCAAGUUAUCAGAUCAGAGCGAAGUAGAAAACAGGGUGAUAGUUGAUGGUAACCUUGUUACCAGCAGAGGCCCUGGAACCACCUUCGAGUUUGCAUUUGCUAUUGUGGAAAAGCUGUUUGGACGCGAAUUAGCAUUAGAACUUGCGAAGACAAUGGUGUUCGCACGUUCGUAGGAUUUUUGAAUGCGAAGCUUUUUGUACGGAUGCUUAUAGAUUUGUGUAUGAAUAAUUUAUCUGAAUCUUGAGUUGUAAAGAACACGAAGAUAAGUGGUUGCUUAUAACUUGGGCAUCUCAUUUGUAGUUUUGCUUCCAUUAUGCCAUGGAGUCUAAAUUACUUAAAUGGAAGGAGAGUUCCUUUGGAAUUAUGCUGGGGUUAUAAUACAGCCUAAGAUUUAUUAUUA